rnacentral:pre_miRNA from 1 species
AUGAGCCGCCGGAUCUCCCAGUGAGGAGGCUGGGGGGGCCGGGGCCGGCCGGCGGAUCCGGCGCCCAGA